UUUUAUGGAUGAGCAAAGAAAGUGUUUUUUUUGAGAUGAAAUUUACUUCUGGUGAAGAUGCUAUGAA
rnacentral:pre_miRNA from 1 species